GGCUCUGUAGCUCAAUUGGUUAGAGCGUGGUGCUUAUAACGCCGAGGUUGCGGGUUCAAUCCCCGCCAGAGCUA
rnacentral:tRNA from 1 species